GUAGGUGAACCUGCGGAAGGAUCAUUAUUGAAGCAAAAAUAUAUAGUCUUGGAUUUGUAAAAGAAUCCAAGCUAUUUAUAUUCUUCUAUAAACCCACUGUGAACCAAUUAAGAGACUAAAGUAUAUCCCUCACGGGACUACUUCUGUUUCGCCUUAAUCGGACAGAAUACAUGUAAUGUGUAUACUGGUCGAGGACGAACCAAUUUGUUUUGGUCGGCCGAAUUACCUUUUUAAAUUCAAAAAGAUGAAG
rnacentral:misc_RNA from 1 species